UACAGAGGUCUCAAGCGUUGUUCGGAUUCAUUGGGCGUAAAGGGCGUGUAGGUGGCGCGCUAAGUCGGGUGUGAAAUUUCGGAGCUUAACUCCGAAACUGCAUUCGAUACUGGCGUGCUUGAGGACUGGAGAGGAGACUGGAAUUUACGGUGUAGCGGUGAAAUGCGUAGAUAUCGUAAGGAAGACCAGUGGCGAAGGCGGGUCUCUGGACAGUUCCUGACGCUGAGGCACGAAGGCCAGGGGAGCAAACGGG
rnacentral:rRNA from 1 species